CAGCACCGAUUAUGAGCCUUCAUAGCCAGACUAAAUUUUAAUUUUUUGUGUGCCAUAUACAUAUAUGUAUGCAGUCUGAAGUGUUUGCUCAGGGUUGUUGCAAAGUUCCAAAAAGACUAAGGGGUUCAGCCCAGGGAGAAAUGUAAUUGCCCCUCCUACAUAUAGAGACGCAUUUGAUCGGACUGUUUAACUGGCUCAGGGCACAUGCGCAUGCAGGGGAUGGAGUGGGGAAGGACAG